UCCCAAUGAAGAAGACAACACCUAUUUUAUUCCUUAAGCUUUUCUCAGAACUUGUAAAAGUUGAACUCACUGAACUAAGCUAAGAAGCAGGAGGAGACUCUGUUCCAGAGAGGAAAGACUGAGAAGC